GACGAACGCUGGCGGCGUGCUUAACACAUGCAAGUCGAACGGAAAGGCCCUGCUUUUGUGGGGUGCUCGAGUGGCGAACGGGUGAGUAACACGUGAGUAACCUGCCCUUGACUUUGGGAUAACUUCAGGAAACUGGGGCUAAUACCGGAUAGGAGCUCCUGCUGCAUGGUGGGGGUUGGAAAGUUUCGGCGGUUGGGGAUGGACUCGCGGCUUAUCAGCUUGUUGGUGGGGUAGUGGCUUACCAAGGCUUUGACGGGUAGCCGGCCUGAGAGGGUGACCGGCCACAUUGGGACUGAGGUACGACCCAGCCGCCUACGGGAGGCAGCAGUGGGGAAUAUUGCACAAUGGGCGGAAGCCUGAUGCAGCAACGCCGCGUGCGGGAUGACGGCCUUCGGGUUAUAAACCGCUUUCGCCUGUGACGAAGCGUGAGUGACGGUAAUGGGUAAAGAAGCACCGGCUAACUACGUG
rnacentral:rRNA from 1 species